GACGAACGCUGGCGGCGUGCUUAACACAUGCAAGUCGAGCGGAAAGGCCCUUCGGGGUACUCGAGCGGCGAACGGGUGAGUAACACGUGAGCAAUCUGCCCCAGGCUCUGGGAUAGCCACCGGAAACGGUGAUUAAUACCGGAUACGACAACCUCCUGCAUGGGAUGGUUGUGGAAAGUUUUUCGGCCUGGGAUGUGCUCGCGGCCUAUCAGCUUGUUGGUGAGGUAAUGGCUCACCAAGGCUUCGACGGGUAGCCGGCCUGAGAGGGUGACCGGCCACACUGGGACUGAGACACGGCCCAGACUCCUACGGGAGGCAGCAGUGGGGAAUAUUGGACAAUGGGCGGAAGCCUGAUCCAGCAACGCCGCGUGAGGGAUGACGGCCUUCGGGUUGUAAACCUCUUUCAGCACAGACGAAGCGCAAGUGACGGUAUGUGCAGAAGAAGGACCGGCCAACUACGUGCCAGCCGCCGCCGUAAGAC
rnacentral:rRNA from 1 species